GACGAACGCUGGCGGCGUGCUUAACACAUGCAAGUCGAACGGAAAGGCCCUGCUUUUGUGGGGUGCUCGAGUGGCGAACGGGUGAGUAACACGUGAGUAACCUGCCCUUGACUUUGGGAUAACUUCAGGAAACUGGGGCUAAUACCGGAUAGGAGCUCCUGCUGCAUGGUGGGGGUUGGAAAGUUUCGGCGGUUGGGGAUGGACGCGCGGCUUAUCAGCUUGUUGGUGGGGUAGUGGCUUACCAAGGCUUUGACGGGUAGCCGGCCUGAGAGGGUGACCGGCCACAUUGGGACUGAGAUACGGCCCAGACUCCUACGGGAGGCAGCAGUGGGGAAUAUUGCACAAUGGGCGGAAGCCUAAUGCAGCAACGCCGCGUGCGGGAUGACGGCCUUCGGGUUGUAAACCGCUUUCGCCUGUGACGAAGCGUGAGUGACGGUAAUGGGUAAAGAAGCACCGGCUAACUACGUG
rnacentral:rRNA from 1 species